CACACGACUCUCGGCUACGGAUAUCUCGGCUCUCGCAUCGAUGAAGAACGUAGCGAAAUGCGAUACCUGGUGUGAAUUGCAGAAUCCCGCGAACCAUCGAGUCUUUGAACGCAAGUUGCGCCCGAGGCCACUUGGCCGAGGGCACGCCUGCCUGGGCGUCACGC
rnacentral:rRNA from 1 species